AUUUUAUAAUAUAGUUUUGCAUUUAUGUUUUGCAGGCUAUUAUUACUGCUGUGUAACUGCUGUGUUACUGCUUUUAACUGCUGCCUUUUAGCUGCUGUUGUAUAUUACUGCUUAUAGAUCUAGCUGCUGUUUAUAGCUGCUGUUGUUAGAUCUAUUCUAAUUCUAGGGAAUCUAGAAUCUAGUGUUAUUUUGUUUCUUUAUUAUCACCUUAGUAAACUUAGUUAUAUUUAUUUAUAGUCUGUUUCUCAGUUCUGUUCUUAGUGAAUAGUAAGGUACUGAGCCUAAGGAUAGGAUAUUCUUGUUUUAGUGUUAGUGUUAUGAGUGUAAUAGUAGGAUAUUGUAGUGUGUUUAUUGUAGAUCUAGGUCUAGUGUAGUAGUUUUAGUGAUUUAGUUAGAUAGUUGUUUUGAUCAGUUUGUGUCAGAUAGUUGGUUUGGUUAGUUUGGUAGUGUUUGUAGUGGUGUAGAUUUAGAGGGUAGUUUAUAGUAGUUAGUGUAUAUAUUAUAUUUUAUUAUUGAUUUAUUUUGUAUGUAAAUAAAAUUUCUUUUUGUUUUAUUUAUCGUAAACUAAAGUUUAUCUUGUCUCCAUUUAGUUUAGUUUAGUAUGUCUGGUUACUUAGGUGACUCUAGCCCCUUGGUCACCAUACCGAGGUGCACAGAUUGAGCCCACCCAGUAGCGCAAACAUCUGCCUACUGUUAGGUAAAUUUUAAUGUUGAGCGGCAGAGAAUAGGUCCUCUCUCUCUAUCCACUCGCGCCUGCCUGACCUGCUCACAUUUUUGGUGUCAGAAGUGGGAUCUGUGCUUGAGUGACCAGACUUGUAUUUUUUUAUUGGGAUAGAUUAGGUUUGCGUAGGAGUUUAGGCAUUGAUAGGAAGUAGUGUAUAGUUCAGUUUUUCUUUGGGCGUUUGUUAGAGAGGUUAUUAGGCUUUAGUUUUGUUGAGUAGUUACGUAGAUGAACAGCGAGGCAGCAGCAGCAGCAAGAAUGCAGCCGUCUCAGACAGUUAUCUUGGUGCCUAGGACAGAGAUGAGUAUCCGGCGCUUCCAUGGUGAUGGUCCUGCCAGGGAAAUUGAAGAGUUCCUUCAAAAUGUUGAGAGAGCUUGGAAGUCUCAACACAUGGUGCAUCCAGAGGAAAAAUGUGACUUCCUCUUUGCACAUCUAGGUGAGGCAGUGAAGGCCGAACUUAGGUGUCACCCUCAGACGACAAGGGCAUGUCCAGAUGCCCUUGUACAAGUUCUACACUCCACUUAUGGAGAAAGGCGGAGCAUCAACUGCCUCAUUGGGGAGCUGUUCCGAAUAAGCCAGCACCAGUAUGAGUCUGUCCGCGCAUACUCACACCGUCUCCUUCAAGCAUUUGAAGCACUCACAGACAGGCAGAGAGCUCUAUCUGAAACUCCCUUCAGCAAGUCUAUCCUGAGGGACCAGUUUGUAGAAAACCUCAGUGACAGGAUCCUAAGGAGAGAUCUGCGAGAGAGACUACUUGACAGGCCAGAAACUGAAUUCCUGGCGUUAAGAGACAUGGCCAUCAGGUGGGCCCAGGAUGAGGAUGUCGCACCGCAAGUCAACGUCACAUGCAGUGAGAUAAAGAUUGAAAGCCAGCUAGCUGCGCUCUCCAAGCAAGUGGAGGAGCUUGCAGCCCAGAUUGUGCUCCUACAACUUUCGGGACCACAGAACUCUAACUGUCCCCACUGCAACCACCAUCAACCUGAUCACAUUAGCGGCAAGGUGAGACAGAUUGUCUCACAACCAAAGCGCACUCUUAACCAUAAGAGGCCAACGAUGAAGAACAGGAAAUGCUACACAUGUGGCAAACCUGGCCAUCUUGCAAGAAAUUGCAGGCUGCAGAACAGGUUCCAAGGUCAGCGAAAGAAGCCAGGGAACCGGGCUUACCAGCAACACCCUUCUAGAAGCAACUGCUCGAAUUGUGGAAGCCGGGACCACUUCACCCGAGCUUGCCCUGAUGUCACUGCAGCAGUGAAUCGCGUUCAGGUUGCCUCAGUGGAACAACCACAGGCAGUACAACUGCAACCUGCUCCCAAGCCAACAGAAUUGUCGGUUGAGGUGCCACCGAAUCCUAGGCGAUCCAACACUGCUCCUGAUUCAAUUGUUCGCAGAAACCAACCCGCAGUGGCAGAAAUGAUGUCGAUGCGUACAGAAGUCGCCUCACCUGACACUUCCAGUAAUCAUGCAGAAGGAGGUAGGGAAACAAAUCCUUUCCUACAGUUUCAUCUGGUCCAACCAGAAUCCACAUUGCUUUCCCAUGAGGUUCCUGAGUUGCAGAAGAAAAGGAACGACCUUCUGAACAUUGGGUGCAGAGUUCUUGUCGAACAGAGAGUCAGAGGCCAGGGAAGAAUGUUCAUGCAGUAUGAACCGUCAUGUUUUGUAAUUACUGCAGUACCCAAGUAUGCUUCUGGCUGGUACAUGGUGGAGGCAGAAGACGGCAGUACUUACCGAUAUGUAAGAGAGGAGGAAAUGAAGUUCGUUUCCUCACCAUACUAGCAUAAUUCUUCAUUUGUAUAUUUGUAAUUUUUAUUCAAUAUGUUGGUUGCAUUCCAAUGUAUCAAGAUGUAUUAGUUUGUAAUAACUCUAUGAGUACAUGUUAUCUACAUGUGUGUUUAAAAGUUUUUUUAAGCUUAGUAGAUGCUGUACCUAUUUGAGAAUGUACAGAAUCAAGAGUAUUUUCUUGUGUUUUUAGCUGAUGAAGUGUAUAUAUUUUUUUGCUUUUGUCCUUGUAAAGCAAUGUAACCUAAGUCAUGUCAUGGAGAUGUAUAUUUUUGUGUGAAAUCGAUUUUAGUGUGUAUUUUCUUUGAUGGUAUAAUAUGUCAGCAGUAUGUAUGUAAUGCAUUUUAAGUAGUUUGUUAGUAUUUUGUUUUGCGAGGACGCAAAAAUUUAAGGCGGGAUGAAUGUGAGCUUGCGCUCCCAGAGCUAUAUUUUUAUAUAUUUUAUUUUUAUAGGCUAGUGCCAAACUUAUUAUUUCUACUUCCGCUUUUUGUGUAUAAAAAGUGAUGCCACGCUGUUUUAAAACAGUUCAGUGUACAGUUGACCAGUGGUCAGUACCAUAUCUGUCUGUGUGACAGCUGAAUAUCUUUGUGGUCUGUCGUCUAAUUAUAUUUUUAUUCCUGUACCUGGGACGGCCUGCUAUUAUUACUGCUGUGUAACUGCUGUGUUACUGCUUUUAACUGCUGCCUUUUAGCUGCUGUUGUAUAUUACUGCUUAUAGAUCUAGCUGCUGUUUAUAGCUGCUGUUGUUAGAUCUAUUCUAAUUCUAGGGAAUCUAGAAUCUAGUGUUAUUUUGUUUCUUUAUUAUCACCUUAGUAAACUUAGUUAUAUUUAUUUAUAGUCUGUUUCUCAGUUCUGUUCUUAGUGAAUAGUAAGGUACUGAGCCUAAGGAUAGGAUAUUCUUGUUUUAGUGUUAGUGUUAUGAGUGUAAUAGUAGGAUAUUGUAGUGUGUUUAUUGUAGAUCUAGGUCUAGUGUAGUAGUUUUAGUGAUUUAGUUAGAUAGUUGUUUUGAUCAGUUUGUGUCAGAUAGUUGGUUUGGUUAGUUUGGUAGUGUUUGUAGUGGUGUAGAUUUAGAGGGUAGUUUAUAGUAGUUAGUGUAUAUAUUAUAUUUUAUUAUUGAUUUAUUUUGUAUGUAAAUAAAAUUUCUUUUUGUUUUAUUUAUCGUAAACUAAAGUUUAUCUUGUCUCCAUUUAGUUUAGUUUAGUAUGUCUGGUUACUUAGGUGACUCUAGCCCCUUGGUCACCAUACCGAGGUGCACAGAUUGAGCCCACCCAGUAGCGCAAACAUCUGCCUACUGUUAGGUAAAUUUUAAUGUUGAGCGGCAGAGAAUAGGUCCUCUCUCUCUAUCCACUCGCGCCUGCCUGACCUGCUCACACUGACAACAAAGAUGCGUCUCUUAAACUCAAAUGUCAAGGCCGUUUUGCAAUAUGGACUAAAAGUGCCAUUAGGAAAGUGCAAACUUUCAUUAACAGCUGCCUACAAAGAAUCCUUCACAUCCAUUUGCCAGACACCAUCGGCAACAGUGACCUCUAGCAGAGAAACAGCCAAACUCUUGCAAAAGAAGAAAUCAGAAAGAGAAUAUUGGGCUGGACUGGGCACACUUUGCGCUAAUCACCAACUAGUAUCACAAGACUGGCAUUGAAGUGGAACCCACAAGGCAAGAGAAAGAUGGGGCGUCCUAGAAGCACCUGGCAAACUAGAGGAAGUUUGGUUACACCUUGAACAAGAUGGAAAGGAUAGCCCAGGACAGGGGACUAUGGAGAUCUAUUGUUGGCGGCCCAUACCCCAAUAGGGGUGACGAGCUGUAAGUAAGUACGAGUUCAAUCAUAUUAUAAUUAUUGGCACAAAACUUUUUUUCUGACAAUUUAAGAAAGUUGUCCUUCAAAGUUUUAUAGGGUGAUUUUAAUUAGAAACAACAUGGGCCACACUAGUAGGCCCCCUACAUGGGCCACACUAGUAGGCCCCCUACAUGGGCCACACUAGUGGGCCCCCUAUCACGGAAACGUUGACAAUCUAAGGCCUUCUGUCUCGAAACGACUAGGAAUCAUCUCAUGGAUCCUUUCUUUUUUUUUUAGUUUUGUGGUAUAUUGCAUAAGCGCAACAACGCCCAUUGUAUUCUAAAUUAAUGACGAAAAAUUUUAAUCUUUUAAUUUGUUAUAAUUGUUACAAAUUGCAGGUAACGUAGUUAUUAUUAUUUUUUUAUUUUAUUUUGCCAAUGAUCUAGUUUUUAUAGUGAAAAAAUGUGGACACAUUCUCUAUUAAAAUUCUGAAGCUAUCAAUUACUGUGUGUAUUUUUUGUUUUUCUCCUAAUAUAUUUUCAUUAACCAAAUCUUUCAAAGCCUUUCUGACAACGGAAAGCUAGAAAUAAAUUAAUCAGAGAAUAGCUCAAUUAAAUGUAUAACAAGACUUAACUGCAUUUCAAUUUUAUAUCGCAAUUGGGCCCUAUGGACACAAUUCAAAAUGUUAAAAUUUGGAAUUAGGCAUUGUGGCCAUGCAACAAGUAAUUUUUUAAAAGACUUUUUUACAGGUCAAACAUUAGAAGAAGUUUACUCAUUUCAAUAGGCCUACUCAGGGUCAAACAUAACAAAAUAUGGAGGAUCAAUAAAAGAUAGGCCUACAAACACGGUUAAGCUUGACAUCCGAACAUUCUGGAAGAGUAACAUCACUUCCAAGUCAAAUUAAAACAGUAUUCUUCCCUAGUGGUCUCUGUACUCCAAUAUGGUUGUGAAAGUUGGACACCGAACUCUGAGGCUGAAAGAAGAAUUCAAGCCUUUGAGAGUCAAUACUACAGACAAAUGGUGGGUAUUAGAUAUCAGGAAAAGAAGAUACAAGAAAAGAAAAAAAGGAAAGUAAAGUUCAGAUCUUUUGUAUAGGAUCUAUAGGACAGACCGUAUACAUGUGUCAUUACUUUUUAUGGCCGACUGUUAACAAGAGUGUCAUGUGGCCAGUACAACGACCAACUGCCAUUACUUUCCUUAACUAAUGUUAGGUCCCAUUAGAUUUGGGUGGACUCUGGGAUGUCCUAAAAUCCUAGUAUCUACCAAGAAUCGAAACGAAGACCCAUCACCUUGGAAACCAAGCGAUUUACCCACUUAGAGCCAUCUUCAAGAAGCAAGGCAUACUAAAAAUCCUUAAAACCAAGGGUUUAAAAAAAAAGAAAAGAAAACCAAGACAAGUUUUUAAACACUUCUAAAGCAAUAAUUCCUAAAACCAUUAGGCUAUUGAUGAGUGAUGUCUGGGCAGUUUUAAGGUCACAUUUAGAUGUUCAGUUUACAAUAGAAUCCACUGUUCGGCAAAAGUUGCUAAGCAUUCUAAACCAUACUGGACAUUACAACACGUAAAUUCUCACAAGACUGGCAGAAAUGAGCUCACCUUUAAAUGUAUAGAAUUUAGAUAAUUUCAUUAUAAAUAAAGUAACUUUCAAUAUGCAAAAACAAAAUGCACACUAAGAUGUCACAAUUAGAUUUUUUUGUUCAUCACUUGUCCCCUGGCUAUUUCUCCAUUCCCUCUAAAACUAAUGAGGCAUGUGUCUUGUCAAGGGAAAAAUGUUCUACUUCUCAACAAUCUAUUCAAACAGAAUAUAAACAAAACUGGCAUUCAGUAAACAAAUUAAUCAAACAGUUUAUUUAUUGUUCAUAUUAAAAACAAACUACAUUUAUAAACCUGCUAAACCAGACUAUUUUAAUGUACCUACUUCUUGUAUAACAAGUUAUUUACUACAUCUAUAGACCUACAUCUGUUUUAUCAUCAUCCUCUGUCUAUAUCUACAUUAUACUUUGAUUCUAGUUCAUACACAAAACCAAAGGUUUAUAGAAACCACUUACACACUAAUGCUCUCACAAAUGUUGUUAUAACUUAUCACUUCAGUUCACACAGUCACACUAAAUAAAUUCAAAUAAAAAAAAAAAAGAAAAAUUAUUGUUCCAAAUGUUUAUUUCUAUUCGCCAUGUGCAUACACAUAUUAUCAGACUAGAUGGACAUCUUAAAGAAAUCAUUAAUAAAAAGGGAAUGUUCUGGCAAUUAUUAUUUCAAUAUCUUAGAUUUUAAUUAAUUAGCAUAGAACAAUGAUUGACACAAAAAUAAUCUCAUGAAGUAGGCUAAUUAAAGGUCUGUCAUUGACACAAUAAUAAUCCUCUUCUCUCCUAAACUGAUGUUGGGUCUACACCCAUCUACCCAAAUGUUAUUUUUUCAGUCUGUGUACACCAGGAUUCUGAACCAUAGAUGUAUAUUAUGUAGCUAAGUGUUCUACCUAUUAGCCACAAUGUCACAUUUACUAUUUAACCAUAUUUAUUCAAACAAAACUGAACUACCACUAAAUUGUUGAAGAAGGAUCUGAUUCAUGAUCCAACAAAUAGUGUUUCAUGGAAUGUCCUGCAUAGACAGACUCUAUAUUCAAUGACUGUAAUCAUCAAAAACAGAAGGGCAUUGUGUCCAAGCCUAAGUAUUAUUAAUUACUAGCCGGAUAUGACUAAGGAUAUGACUAACGAUCUGCGGGCCUAAGUUUUGGAAUUAUUGAUCUACUGGUUUGAAUUUAGAUUCAUGAUAAACAUGGAGAAUGUUCCCUUUUUUAAACAGAGAUACAUUUAAGUAUUUUUGUCUAUUUUCAGGGCCCUCCGGUAGUGGUAGGGACAUUAAACAUACACUAUAGUCUCUGCCAUGAUGUAAGGAACAUUCAUGUCAAGUUUUAUCAAGAUUGGUCAAAUGGUUUUGAUUUCUAUGUGGGACUUACAUACAUACAUACGCCUUACUUUCUGCUUUAUAAUAAUUAUUAUAAGAGUAAAAAAAAUUAUGAGCAAGCAACAAAAAAAA